rnacentral:rRNA from 1 species
GACGAACGCUGGCGGCGUGCCUAAUACAUGCAAGUCGAACGCAGUGGGGACGGGUGAGUAACAUGUGGGUAACCUCCCAUCAGAGGGGAUAACACUUGGAAACAGGUGCUAAUCCGAUACUGAUGUAUGGACCCGCGUGGCAUUAGCUAGUUGGUGAGGUAACGGCUCACCAAGGCCACGAUGCAUAGCUGGCGUGCGAGGGUGAUCAGCUACACUGGGACUGAGACACGGCCCAGACGCCUACGGGAGGCAGCAGUAGGGAAUCUUGGACAAUGGACGAAAGUCUGACCGAGCAACGCCGCGUGAAUGAAGAAGGCUUUCGGGUCGUAAAACUCUGUUAUUAGAGAAGCGUUAUCGAACCAGAAAGCCACGGCUAACUACGUGCCAGCAGCCGCGGUAAUUC